GACGGGGGGUCCUAGCGUUGUUCGGAAUCAUUGGGCGUAAAGCGUGUGCAGGUGGUUUUAAAAGUUAGAUGUGAAAUCCUUGGGCUUAACCCGAGAAGUGCAUUUAAAACUGUAAAACUUGAAUAUGGAAGAGGGUCGUGGAAUUCCAGGUGUAGUGGUGAAAUACGUAGAUAUCUGGAGGAACACCGGCGGCGAAGGCGGCGACCUGGUCCAAUAUUGACACUCAUACACGAAAGCGUGGGGAUCAAACAGG
rnacentral:rRNA from 1 species